rnacentral:rRNA from 1 species
UACGUAGGCAGCGAGCGUUUGUUCGGAGUUACUGGGCGUAAAGGGUGUGUAGGCGGUUGUUUAAGUUUGGUGUGAAAUCUCCCGGCUCAACCGGGAGGGUGCGCCGAAUACUGAAUGACUUGGAGUGCGGGAGAGGAAAGUGGAAUUCCUGGUGUAGCGGUGAAAUGCGUAGAUAUCAGGAGGAACACCGGUGGUGUAGACGGCUUUCUGGACCGCAACUGACGCUGAGACACGAAAGCGUGGGUAGCAAACAGG